CCUACGGGAGGCAGCAGUGAGGAAUAUUGGUCAAUGGGCGCGAGCCUGAACCAGCCAAGUAGCGUGAAGGAUGACUGCCCUACGGGUUGUAAACUUCUUUUAUAAAGGAAUAAAGUGAGGCACGUGUGCCUUUUUGUAUGUACUUUAUGAAUAAGGAUCGGCUAACUCCGUGCCAGCAGCCGCGGUAAUACGGAGGAUCCGAGCGUUAUCCGGAUUUAUUGGUUUUAAAGGGAGCGUAGAUGGUUGGUUAAGUAAGUGGUGAAAGUUUGAGGCUCAACCGUAAAAUUGCAAUUGAUACUGGCAGUCUUGAGUGCAGUUGAGGUAGGCGGAAUUCGUGGUGUAGCGGUGAAAUGCUUAGAGAUCACGAAGAACUCCGAUUGCGAAGGCAGCUUACUAAACUGCCACUGACAUUGAUGCUCGAAAGUGUGGGUAGCAAACAGGAUUAGAUACCCUGGUAGUC
rnacentral:rRNA from 1 species